AUUCUUGUGCUCGGGCACGUACUGUCGCCAGUGAGGUCUAUACCGAGGCACAGUCUUUUGCUGAUUGCAAAUUACACAUCCGAACACGUCCUUAAGCUUCGGCUUUUGGCAAUUUUUGGAAACUCUCCAGUCCCAGUGACAACUUCACUGUUCGAGGGAUCCGGUAGAG
rnacentral:snRNA from 1 species